rnacentral:rRNA from 1 species
GACGAACGCUGGCGGCGUGCUUAACACAUGCAAGUCGAACGGAAAGGCCCUGCUUUUGUGGGGUGCUCGAGUGGCGAACGGGUGAGUAACACGUGAGUAACCUGCCCUUGACUUUGGGAUAACUUCAGGAAACUGGGGCUAAUACCGGAUAGGAGCUCCUGCUGCAUGGUGGGGGUUGGAAAGUUUCGGCGGUUGGGGAUGGACUCGCGGCUUAUCAGCUUGUUGGUGGGGUAGUGGCUUACCAAGGCUUUGACGGGUAGCCGGCCUGAGAGGGUGACCGGCCACAUGGGGACUGAGAUACGGCCCAGACUCCUACGGGAGGCAGCAGUGGGGAAUAUUGCACAAUGGGCGGAAGCCUGAUGCAGAAACGCCGCGUGCGGGAUGACGGCCUUCGGGUUGUAAACCGAUUUCGCCUGUGACGAAGCGUGAGUGACGGUAAUGGGUAAAGAAGCACCGGCUAACUACGUG